UCGGCCUCCCAAAGUGCUGGGAUUACAGGUGUGAGCCACCCUACCCAGCCCGUGAACAUUACUUUUUAUAAAGACUAGCUUAUACUUGAUGAUUGUAGUCUCUUCUUAGAAUAUUUAUGUGUGUUAGUCCUUUGAGGGAUGGCGAACAACAUUGUAUGUUGAAGCGACACAAGAGAUCCUAACAACAUCAAUGAGGUUACAGUAGUACACAUAUUUAGGGCAUAUCUCAGGUUUACCUUUUAGGUCUUUGGUUGCAUCUAGUACUCUAAAUUGCUCUCAUUGCCUCCUCUUAUGCUUUUCCUUUUUCCUAGAAUGGGAUCCUUUAUAUGUUUGUUUAAAGUUUUUUUUUUUUUGCGAAGAAAAUGAACAUCUUUUAGAGCUCUGAUUAGAUGACCAAUCAGAAUGUAUCUCUAUGUGCAUUCGACUUGGAUUGUUACUCCGCCUUUUUAUAUGUUGUAAAGGGUUUGUGCAGAUCAUCUGAGCAGUAAACAAAAACAAAGAUUUGGCUGUUUGGAAUGAGAGUGGCUAUAAUAUUAUUUCCCCUGAAUCGAGAUUUAAGGCAUUGGAACUUGUAGAACUAGCAGAAUAACCCAUAAGUAUGAAGUUUUUAGUUAUAGUGACUAAAUAUAGGAAGAGUGCCUUCAGAAGUUUUUCAAAUAGCAUGAGCAACUAUGAUGUUUCAAGGUAUUAAUUAUGUAGGAGUUGUGAAUGGGGAGAGGCAUUUAGUUGCUUGGUCAUAAUACUUACAAAUGGGGAUAACUAUUUAGCCUAUUUCUAGUUCAAAUGGGUUUCUGACCAUAUUGAUCAUUUUAAGGAUCCAUAAUAUAUAGAGAGAGACUUUGGAGUAUGAACCCUGAAGUCAGACUGCCUGGGGUGAAUACCAACCCAGCUACUUGGUCACUUAUCCUCUCUUGUCUGUUUCCUCACCCAUGUAAUAAGGAUAAUAAUACCCUACAGGGUUGUAGUAAGGAUUGAAUGAAAUAACAUUUGUAAAGUUCUUAGCACAAGGGCCUAACCCAUGCUGUUGCUGCUGCUGCUGCAACUGUUGUUUCCCUUGAAUGUCAGGAAAGGCUUUUAGGAGAUUGAUACUUUCAUCAUCUAGCAUAUACUGCACAUGGCACAGUACACCAUGAAAAAUUGAGAAAGAUCUCCAUGAGGUGAACUGUUCAAAAUACUUUGUGAAUAAGCUUAACCAGUACUGUCAUCAAAGAGUAUUUUUAAGCAUUGAAUAAUAGCUAUGAUUAUACCUAUAUGCUUAAUUUGAACCUGUUAAUUAAUGGUCAUUUCCUGUUUCCCAAUCACUAGUUUAUAUCAUGUUUUAUGAAAUCAGUUUUUUGUAAAUAAAUUAGUCUAAAAGCACAUUAUCUGCAGGUAAGGUGUUUGGCUUUAGCCAGUUAAAUAAAGCCUGACUUUAUUAAAGCUGUUCAUUUAAUUAGAAUGAAUUUCUUGGUUCUGUGGUUACAUAUCAGGAGAAAUAUGGCCAGUGAUAGAGCAGGUUUCUGACUUUGAAAAGCUUUCAUAGUAUAGACGUUUUAACAAGGUAAUUGAGGAAUUAAUUUUCAAAUUUUCUUCUGGCCUUUUCUAUUUACUGAUAAUUCAUUGCUGUGAAGGUAUUAAAUUUUAUUAUUUGGUCUAUUUAUUAGUUCAACAAAUAGUUUUUGAGUGCAUACUAUUUGUAAGACAGGAGCUAUGAGAGCAGGAAUGAUGAAUCAGAUAUAAAUUAUGUUUUCAAAAAGCUGGCGUUUUAGGAGUGUUCAGUUCUCAUUUGUAAUCUUUCAUGACCUUUUAAAAUGUAUCCCCUCUACCUUAUUAUACUUUAAUAGAUAUUUGUUUUUUCUCUGGUUUGCUAUACUUAAUACAGCAAAAAUGCCGAUGCCUGUGAGAUUUGAUGGGAAAGAAAGAAGGCCUGUAGAGAUGGCCCUGAGGAACUUUGCUAUGAAAAAUUGUAAGGAUCAUGUCAUAAGGAUAAAGUAACGUGAAUAUUUAUAGAUACACAUUAUUUGUCCUACUUGUUCUUUAGUCAGCUAGUUGAUACCUAUCAAAGGUUGGCAAAUUUAGAUUUAUGCCAGGGUUUGUUACUUCUGCUUUAAAAUAACCUAGUGAGAUUUAGCUGAUGAUCAUCAGUCACAUUAGACAUUAUUAUUAACACAUCAAAAAGUUGUCCUUGUGUUCAGAAUUGUUCAAAGGAUCAUUUUUAAUUUGAUUUAUGCCAAUGUGUUUUUGAUUGCUAAGAUUUCCUAAAGACUCAGUGUUCAGCCUGCUUCCAGACGGGCGAGGAGACUCGUGGUCUGGUUCUUGGACUUGCCUAACAGCAUGGCUCCUAAACGCCAGUCUCCACUCCUGCCUCAAAAGAAGAAACCAAGACCACCACGUGCUUUGGGACCGGAGGAGACAUUGGCCUCUGCAGGCUUGCCAAAGAAGGGAGAAAUAGAACAGCAAGAGCAAUUGAACACAUUGAUGAAGUACAAAAUGAAAUAGACAGACUUAAUGAACAAGCCAGUGAGGAGAUUUUGAAAGUAGAACAGAAAUAUAACAAACUCCGCCAACCAUUUUUUCAAAAGAGGUCAGAGUUGAUCACCAAAAUCCUAAAUUUUUGGGUAACAUUUGUCAACCAUCCACAAGUGUCUGCACUGCUUGGGGAGGAAGACGAAGAGGCACUGCAUUAUUUGACCAGAGUUGAAGUAACAGAAUUUGAAGAUAUUAAAUCAGGUUACAGAACAGAUUUUUAUUUUGAUGAAAAUCCUUACUUUGAAAAUAAAGUUCUCUCCAAAGAAUUUCAUCUGAAUGAGAGUGGUGGUCCAUCUUCAAAGUCCACCGAAAUCAAAUGGAAAUCUGGAAAGGAUUUGACAAAAUGUUCAAGUCAAAUGCAGAAUAAAGCCAGCAGGAAGAGGCAGCAUGAGGAACCAGAGAGCUUCUUUACCUGGUUUACUGACCAUUCUGAUGCAGGUGCUGAUGCGUUAGGAGAGGUCAUCAAAGAUGGUAUUUGGCCAAACUCAUUACAGUACUACUUGGUUUCUGAUAUGGAUGAUGAAGAAGGAGAAGGAGAAGAUGAUGAUGAUGAAGAGGAGGAAGGAUUAGAAGAUAUUGAUGAGGAAGGGGAUGAGGAUGAAGGUGAUGAAGAUGAUGAUGAAGGGGAGGAAGGAGAGGAAGAUGAAGGAGAAGAUGACUAAUAGAACACUGAUGGAUUCCAACCUUCCUUUUUUUAAAUUUUCUCCAGUCCCUGGGAGCAAGUUGCAGUCUUUUCUUUUUUUUUUUUCCUCUUGUGCUCAGUUGCCCAGUUCUUGAGGUCUCUUUUCUGUACUCCAUGGUUCUCAACUUAUUUGGGGGGAAAUACCUUGAGCAGAAUACAAUGGGAAAAGAGUCUCUACCUCUUUCUGUUCGAAGUUCAUUUUUAUCCCUUCCUGUCUGAACAAAAACUGUAUGGAAUCAGCACCACCGAGCUCUGUGGGAAGAAAGAAAACCCUGCUCCCUUUGCUCUGCUGGAGGGUGCUGGGCCCCUGUGUAGUAGUGCGUAGAAUUCUAGCUUUUUGGCCGGGCGCGGUGGCUUACACCUUUAAUCCCCGCACUUUGGGAGGCCGAGGCAGGCG